ensembl:lncRNA
AUGGGGCGUCAGGGACGUGUCCAAGACAUGCUUUUUAGUGUUGCUUCCAUGAGACUUGUGUUUGCAGGACAUAAACUACAGUUUAUGAAGAACGUGACCCUGAGACGCAGUUUCAACGUUUCAAAUGCAGGCAUUAUUGUGGUCUCAUGGAAAGGAUUUCAGGAACACAUUGGACUGUGAUAAUGGAACAUGCAGCAAAAUUUGAUUUCCCUCCAUUCCCGGAGGCUUUCUGGAGCAAGAAAAGCGUAAAGAUACAGUUUAGAUAAGAAUAUAGGUCUAAUGUUCUGUAAUGCAAUAUUGUAAUGCAUUAAACAUAGACUAACUUUCCUCAACACUGUGUAAAACACAAAACAAGGAAGUGCAAAGUUAAAACACCUGUAAAACAUGACAAUAAUCAAUAGAGAAAAUUCCUUCAUAUUAAGACAGUACAUUGUGUGCUUUUUCUGGACAUUUUCACAGUAUGUUCUACUGGUUGAGCUAGAGGAAGACAAAUAAAUAAAUCUCUUAAACAGAACUGAAAUUCCUG